rnacentral:rRNA from 1 species
UACGUAGGGUGCAAGCGUUGUCCGGAAUUAUUGGGCGUAAAGAGCUCGUAGGCGGUCUGUCGCGUCGGCUGUGAAAACCCGGGCUCAACCCCGGCCUGCAGUCGAUACGGGCAGACUAGAGUGCGGUAGGGGAGACUGGAAUUCCUGGUGUAGCGGUGAAAUGCGCAGAUAUCAGGAGGAACACCGGUGGCGAAGGCGGGUCUCUGGGCCGUAACUGACGCUGAGGAGCGAAAGCGUGGGGAGCGAACAGG